rnacentral:lncRNA from 1 species
UUGUAAAUGCUGAUGAUCAGCUGUGCGGACGAGGCUACCUUAUUAAGUGUACACUGGUGGUUACUUUUCAGAGUUGAUAUAAAAUAUCACAACGAUCUUGUAUUCAAGAAAUUUAUCGAUACAUAAAACCCAUAAUCAACGCAUAUUUAUAAAAAAGCUUUGGGCACAGUCUUUCCAACUUAAAACGAAAGCGGUAGUUUGAAUUUAAGUAUUUUGGAUAUGUCGACUCUUAGACUUAAAACUUAGGUAUCUAGGAAGGUACAUUAACUUAUCCGAUCAUGUUUGUGUUCACCAAUUUUUUUGAGUCUAAGAAAUACUAUAAUAGGGAAGCCCGCAAAAGAAGACGGACGAUUAGCAUACUAUCCAUGUGUUUACAUCACUGGGUCCAACAUAUUGAUGUCUUUGGUAUAUCUGUAAAAAGUUUGAUAGACCAUUAAAAGGCGUAAACAGUCAAGAAAAUUUAAGGAAUACUUGGAAUUUUCUCCGAUAAUCUUGGACUCAAGGUCCCACACAGAAUGCCUAUUGAUGACAAUGUCAAUAUAAUGUGCUGGAGGGAAAUGAGACGGUGGGAAAUUCGUAAAUAACACCAAUUAGAAAGAGCAGAAAAAGUCGGUACACGGUAAAGAUAUAAGAGGGAAAUAAGACGUUGGGAAAAUCGUAAAUAACACCAAUUAGAAAGACAGGCACACUCGAUAUGUAGACUGGUAAAUGAAAAACUGGUCAAUGUCGCACGCAACACAAGGAAAAACAAAACGAAAAACAUGACAGACAUAUACAUAACAGUCUGCCAUCCAGCUAGGCAGGCAGUCAGUUGGACUUGUCAUUGAAAAUGUAAUGUAUGUGAUAAUUACAGGGGUGUGUAUAAUGACUUGCAGCUAUUACUCCAAAAAAAUUUAAAGUUGAACCAGUUAAAAAUCAUAUAAAGCAGGUUGUUUCUGGCUAAAAUUAAAAGGCUAACAGACAGGUAAUCGUAUAUAUGUAUGUACGUACAGUACAUAUUACAUGUAAUACAUGAAUAGUUAUUUAUGUAAGUCUAUGUAUUAUGAAUUUAAUGUCAAACUCUCUUUAUUUUUAAAGCUUUGUUUUGAUUUUAUUAUUCGUCUUUCAUAAGUACUUUUAAGGAAUGUCAGCAUGAAGUAUGUGCAUGAAUGUAAGUGAAAAACUGUUCGAUUCGGAAAACUGUAUUGUAAAUUGUUGUCUUAACUACAACUGUCAAUUACAACAUGUUUCAUAAUAUUUAAUUAUAAGCAUUUUCGUCUACCAAUCAAUAGUGUUGGCUGUCUUACUUAACAAGCUUAAAGCAUUAAUAAUUAUGGAAAAGAGAAGAAAAAGUUGUAUGUUUGUUUUUUUUUUGUAUUUCAUUUCAUCUUUUAUUAUCGAUGAUUGAGUUGUCAAUGUCGAAAGUGCAAUGAACUUGUUUUAUUGUCAAGUCACUUUACUGGAAAAUUGUUGUUUCAAAUAUUUAGUAUUAACAAUAAGUGUUAUUUUUCUAUAUUAAAAUACAUUUAAUUAUUUUUUAAAUAAUAAUUUACUUCCCAUUGAAAAUUUAAAUCAUUUUAAUACGAUUUUAAGUUUAGUGUUCUCCGGUAGGUUAGUGGUUAGAGUUCUAGUCUGGUAGACCGGAGGUGGUGGAUUCGAUUCUCACCUGUGGCGCUGGUUAAGGAGCGCACAACAGGCCCGAUAGAGGCCUAUGUGUAUUCCUUCGGAUUUGAUGUGUAUACGUCCUCCUUUCAAACGAACUAACUAUAUUUAGUUUACUACACCCCAGCAGUUCGACAAAGAGACAAUGCAUAUGAUAAAGACAGUAAUUUCCACUAAU